rnacentral:rRNA from 1 species
GAUGAACGCUGGCGGCGUGCCUAAUACAUGCAAGUCGAGCGAACAGACGAGGAGCUUGCUACUCUGACGUUAGCGGCGGACGGGUGAGUAACACGUGGAUAACCUACCUAUAAGACUGGGAUAACUUCGGGAAACCGGAGCUAAUACCGGAUAAUAUAUUGAACCGCAUGGUUCAAUAGUGAAAGACGGUUUUGCUGUCACUUAUAGAUGGAUCCGCGGCACAUUAGCUAGUUGGUAAGGUAACGGCUUACCAAGGCAACGAUGCGUAGCCGACCUGAGAGGGUGAUCGGCCACACUGGAACUGAGACACGGUCCAGACUCCUACGGGAGGCAGAAGUAGGGAAUCUUCCGCAAUGGGCGAAAGCCUGACGGAGCAACGCCGCGUGAGUGAUGAAGGUCUUCGGAUCGUAAAACUCUGUUAUUAGGGAAGAACAAAUGUGUAAGUAACUAUGCACGUCUUGACGGUACCUAAUCAGAAAGCCACGGCUAACUACGUG